rnacentral:rRNA from 1 species
CUCCACCUACGGGACGCAGCAGUGGGGAAUAUUGCACAAUGGGCGCAAGCCUGAUGCAGCGACGCCGCGUGCGGGAUGGAGGCCUUCGGGUUGUAAACCGCUUUUGUUCAAGGGCAAGGCACGGUCUUUGGCCGUGUUGAGUGGAUUGUUCGAAUAAGCACCGGCUAACUACGUGCCAGCAGCCGCGGUAAUACGUAGGGGGCAAGCGUUAUCCGGAUUUAUUGGGCGUAAAGGGCUCGUAGGCGGUUCGGCGCGUCCGGUGUGAAAGUCCAUCGCUUAACGGUGG